GGACGAACGCUGGCGGCGUGCUUCAUACAUGCAAGUCGAACGAGAAUCUGGCUUCGGUCAGAGGAAAGUGGCGGACGGGUGAGUAAUGUGUAGAGAAUCUGCCCUUUAGUGGGGGACAACAGUUGGAAACGACUGCUAAUACCCCAUAUGCGCGUAGCUGAGAUGCUAUUCGUGAAAACUCCGGUGCUAAAGGAUGAGUCUGCAUCUGAUUAGCUAGUUGGCGGUGUAAUGGACCACCAAGGCGACGAUCAGUAGCUGGUUUGAGAGGAUGAUCAGUCACAAUGGGACUGAGACACGGCCCAUACUCCUACGGGAGGCAGCAGUAGGGAAUUUUGCGCAAUGGGGGAAACCCUGACGCCAGCAACGCCGCGUGAUUGAAUAAGCCCUUCGGGGUGUAAAGAUCUGUCAGUAGGGACGAAACUUGACGGUACCUACAGAGGAAGCAUCGGCUAACUCCGUGCCAGCCGCCGC
rnacentral:rRNA from 1 species